rnacentral:rRNA from 1 species
UAGGGAAUCUUCGGCAAUGGACGGAANNNUGGACCGAGCAACGCCGCGUGAGUGAAGAAGGUUUUCGGAUCGUAAAGCUCUGUUGUAAGAGAAGAACGAGUGUGAGAGUGGAAAGUUCACACUGUGACGGUAUCUUACCAGAAAGGGACGGCUAACUACGUGCCAGCAGCCGCGGUAAUACGUAGGUCCCGAGCGUUGUCCGGAUUUAUUGGGCGUAAAGCGAGCGCAGGCGGUUAGAUAAGUCUGAAGUUAAAGGCUGUGGCUUAACCAUAGUAGGCUUUGGAAACUGUUUAACUUGAGUGCAAGAGGGGAGAGUGGAAUUCCAUGUGUAGCGGUGAAAUGCGUAGAUAUAUGGAGGAACACCGGUGGCGAAAGCGGCUCUCUGGCUUGUAACUGACGCUGAGGCUCGAAAGCGUGGGGAGCAAACAGGAUUAGAUACCCUGGUAGUCCACGCUGUAAACGAUGAGUGCUAGGUGUUAGACCCUUUCCGGGGUUUAGUGCCGUAGCUAACGCAUUAAGCACUCCGCCUGGGGAGUACGACCGCAAGNUUG